rnacentral:rRNA from 1 species
GAGGGMAAGYCUGGUGCCAGCAGCCGCGGUAAUUCCAGCUCCAGUAGCGUAUAUUAAAGUUGUUGCAGUUAAAAAGCUCGUAGUUGGAUUUGUGGUGUCUUGUUUUUUUGCUUCUACGGUCUUUUUUUUUGUUUUAAACAUUGAAUUAAGACUUGGAAGCGAGGACACCAUCCUUGACAGGUUUGAAAGUGAUAUUAUAUCACCGCAAACAUUGUCAUCCUUUACUUUGAAAAAAUUGGAGUGAUUCAAGCAGGCAAGAAUUAUAAUUUUAAUUUAACUUUGCUUCUGCACAUGUUAGCAUGGAAUAAUGCAAGAGGACUUGGGUUCUCUCUUUCAUUGGUUUCAGGAAUCCGAGUAAUGAUUGAUAGGGACAGUUGGGGGUGCUCGUACUCGACGGCCAGAGGUGAAAUUCUUGGAUUCGUUGAAGACGAACAACUGCGAAAGCAUUCACCAAGGAUGUCUUCUUUAAUCAAGAACGAAAGUUGGGGGAUCGAAGAUGAUCAGAUACCGUCGUAGUCCCAACCAUAAACGAUGCCGACCAGGGAUCAGCGAGCGUUGACUUGGCGUUCUCCACUUUUUUAUUUAUAAAAUUUUGUAGAUUUUGCCAACCUCAUUAAUUUGAAACGACCUCGUUGGCACCUUGCGAGAAAUCACCAGUCUUUGGGCUCCGGGGGGAGUAUGGUCGCAAGGCUGAAACUUAAAGGAAUUGACGGAAGGGCACAACCAGCAGUGGAGCCUGCGGCUUAAAUUGACUCAACACGGGGAAACUUACCAGGUCCAGACAUCAUAAGGAUUGACAGAUUGAAGHUCUUUCUUGAUUYKRUGG